UGACAAAGAGUUGCCUACUAGAAAAUAGUC
rnacentral:piRNA from 1 species